AAAAACCGCGGGGGAUAAAAGGGGGGGGAAGGGUUAAUAGAUUUUUUUCCCGCUCAGAACGAACGCUGGCGGCAGGCCUAACACAUGCAAGUCGAGCGAGACCUUCGGGUCUAGCGGCGGACGGGUUAGUAACGCGUGGGAACGUGCCCUUUACUACGGAAUAGUCCCGGGAAACUGGGUUUAAUACCGUAUACGCCCUUCGGGGGAAAGAUUUAUCGGUAAAGGAUCGGCCCGCGUUAGAUUAGAUAGUUGGUGGGGUAAUGGCCUACCAAGUCUACGAUCUAUAGCUGGUUUGAGAGGAUGAUCAGCAACACUGGGACUGAGACACGGCCCAGACUCCUACGGGAGGCAGCAGUGGGGAAUCUUAGACAAUGGGCGCAAGCCUGAUCUAGCCAUGCCGCGUGAGUGACGAAGGCCUUAGGGUCGUAAAGCUCUUUCGCCAGGGAUGAUAAUGACAGUACCUGGUAAAGAAACCCCGGCUAACUCCGUGCCAGCAGCCGCGGUAAUACGGAGGGGGUUAGCGUUGUUCGGAAUUACUGGGCGUAAAGCGCACGUAGGCGGACUGGAAAGUUGGGGGUGAAAUCCCGGGGCUCAACCUCGGAACUGCCUCCAAAACUACUAGUCUAGAGUUCGAGAGAGGUGAGUGGAAUUCCGAGUGUAGAGGUGAAAUUCGUAGAUAUUCGGAGGAACACCAGUGGCGAAGGCGGCUCACUGGCUCGAUACUGACGCUGAGGUGCGAAAGUGUGGGGAGCAAACAGGAUUAGAUACCCUGGUAGUCCACACCGUAAACGAUGAAUGCCAGUCGUCGGCAAGCAUGCUUGUCGGUGACACACCUAACGGAUUAAGCAUCCGCAUGGAGACUCCCUUGG
rnacentral:rRNA from 1 species